rnacentral:rRNA from 1 species
GACGAACGCUGGCGGCGUGCUUAACACAUGCAAGUCGAGCGGUAAGGCCCUUUCGGGGGUACGACGAGCGGCGAACGGGUGAGUAACACGUGGGUGACCUGCCCUCAGCUCUGGGAUAAGCCUGGGAAACCGGGUCUAAUACUGGAUAUGACUCCAUGACGCAUGUUGUGGGGUGGAAAGCCUUGUGCGGCUGAGGAUGGGCCCGCGGCCUAUCAGCUUGUUGGUGGGGGUGANGGCCUACCAAGGCGACGACGGGUAGCCGGCCUGAGAGGGCGACCGGCCACACUGGGACUGAGACACGGCCCAGACUCCUACGGGAGGCAGCAGUGGGGAAUCUUGCGCAAUGGGCGAAAAGCCUGACGCAGCGACGCCGCGUGAGGGAUGAC